UUAUAUCCAAUACAUGGCUGCCAAUUAGUCGCGUCUAGACUGGGGCCACCACCUGGUGGAUGACAUGGUAAUGGGAACGAGUGUGAAAGAAGCACAUGGCAAGUGAGACUCACGGCACCAGGUCAUAACAGAUGAUAUGUAUUCAACCCAAGGUGGAGCAGUGGUCAUUACCCACCGUCACCCAUCACCAUGCCAAAAACACCUCCUUGCAGCUCCAGUCUCCAUACAGCAUGGUGGCUUCUAGGUGAACUGACUUUACCUGGCUGAACAUGGGGGACAUGAAUUGUUAAUAUGAAAUAGACAGGAAAAAGCAGCUGCAGGAACAUCCCUUCACCUCACACAGUUGUGCAAGACACAGCAAGUUUCAGGAUGAAUAGGUUGUGAAGAGCCAGAGACAGGACAGCCAAGGUAAACAGGGAACUGGACUUCUUGCAGCUCCAGUCUCCAUACAGCAUGAUGUCUUCUAGGUGAACUGACUUUACCUGGCUGAACAUGGUGGGAAUGUAUUUUUUAUAAGACUGAAGCAGACAUUAAAAGACAGCAACGGGAACAUCUGCAUCUCACCCAGUUGUGCAAGACACGGGAUGCGGCAAGUUUUAGGAUGAAUGAAACAGAACAGAAACAGGACAGCCAUUGUAAACAGAGAGUGCUGCCAGAACCACCCAGAACAAGACUUCCAAACACGGCAGAUCCUGUGGAGCCAGUUAUAUGGAACAGUACAAUUACACAACAAAUGUGGGUUCCAGGUAACACAAAGAAUCAAUUUCCCCCAUAUGCAUGGAAACUAUAGAGGCAGGGUAUAUAAAGCAAGGAGAUUGUGUUGGACAAUACUCUAUCACUGAAGACAAAUAGACAUAAUGGAUAUGUUUAAAAGUGAAUUGAUAUUUCAGCUCAGUUGUGAUGUGUUAUAAUAAUUUUCCCCAUAUGCAUGGAAACUGUUACAGUACUAGUAGAGGUAGCAUAUACAGUG